rnacentral:rRNA from 1 species
AGUGAACGCUGGCGGCAUGCCUAACACAUGCAAGUCGAACGGCAGCACAGUAAGAGCUUGCUCCUACGGGUGGCGAGUGGCGGACGGGUGAGGAAUACAUCGGAUACCACUUUUUCGUGGGGGAUAACGGAGGGAAACUUAUGCUAACACCGCAUACGUCCUACGGGUGAAAGCAGAGGUUCUUCGGACUUUGCGCGAUUGAAUGAGCCGAUGUCGGAUUAGCUAGUUGGCGGGGUAAAGGCCCACCAAGGCGACGAUACGUAGCUGGUCUGAGAGGAUGAUCAGCCACACUGGAACUGAGACACGGUCCAGACUCCUACGGGAGGCAGCAGUGGGGAAUAUUGGGCAAUGGGCGCAAGCCUGAUCGAGCCAUACCGCGUGAGUGAAGAAGGCCUUCGGGUUGUAAAGCCCUUUUGUUGGGAAAGAAAAGCAGCAGGUUAAUACCCCGCUAUUCUGACGGUACCCAAAGAAUAAGCACCGGCUAACUUCGUG